GCGACGUGUCAAAGUAGAGGUAGGUGCGAGAAAUGACGGAACCUCACAAAUCAUCGUUCAUUGUCUCGCAGCUGCUUCAACUGUGCCCACUGACGCAAA
rnacentral:pre_miRNA from 14 species